CCUCCUGCUUGUUAUGUUCGCAGCCUGGUGCCUUCUGCUUUGUUCUAAUGAUCUGUAACUAAAUCUAGUAAAGGAAAAAAGGUUCUUUAAAGGUUUUAAAUGUGAUAUUUUACAUAUAGCUUGUUAUAAAGCUUAAUCGUGUUUACUGACCCCAGACAUCACACUCCUCCUGGACGGUCGGGGGUUUUUUUUUGUUGUUGAUGUUGAUUUUUUUUUCUCACCUUGCUGUAACCCUAAGACACAUUAUCAAAACAAUUCGGUUGGGAAUUUCCGUGUUGGUGGAAUGAAACAUGAUAAAAAAAAUUUUGAAGACGCCUUCGGAAGAAACUUUUUGUUUUGCUCUUUUCUUUUAGUCGACCUUCUUUGUCAAAGCAAGAUCACGGAAAAGGGAGGGGAAUGAAUAGAGGCUGCACCAGACACUAAAACAUCCUUUCCCUAAAUUCCACUUCAUCCUUGCCACUUUUUUUUAGCCGGGUGUUUUUUUUUUUUUUUUUUUUUGAAUCCUGGUCCUGAGUUUUCUCCUGUGCCUUUUUCCCGCUCUAACAUACCUGAUCCACCGUAUUAAGCCUACCAAACCGGAUCAUUCGGGUUUGCGCGUCACAUCAUGGCGGUGUAUUUCAUUUGGGGAAAUUUUUUUAUUUAUUUAUAUAUUAGGCUAACACGCCUCCAAAAACUUCCGGACGUUCUUAUUAAGGAAAUAUAGUCUAUAUGCUGUGUCUAUAGGGUUUUCGGGUUUUUUUUUUUUUUUUUUUUUUUUUUUUUAAGCAGGGGGUGUGUCUACUUCUUCUUCUUCUUUUUUUUGGCUUCUUUUUCUUCUUCCUCCUCUUGUUCAGUUAAAUUAGCGGUUCGGCUCAGGAGGUGUGUUCUUUUUUUUCCGUUUAGAAACCCUAUCCAUUGUUCCACUCUUACGGCGUAGUAAAACACGCCCCCAUCCGAACCGCCAGCCAAUCAUGUCCAAGUGUCCGUCCCUUCUUCUCUAGCUCCGCCCACAAACCUAUAUUAAAGCCUCCUACAUCGCAUGCCGACGGCAUUAGCUUAGAAGAGCUAUAAAGUAAACAGCUUAAUAUUGAUUAGAGAAGAAUCAACGCGAAGCGGAUUUACUUAAAUAUUUUCUUACGUUUUUUUUUGGCAUUAUUUAUAUUAUUUAGUCAAUAUAAAAAAUUUAAAAAAGACAACCAUGGCAGACACCAAGGUAGAUUCCGCGACGGAAAUUUCCGCCAAGGACUUGAAGGAGAAGAAGCUCCUUGAGGAGAAGGAAAAUGGAAAGGAGGCCACUAAUGGAAAGGAAAAUGAGGAGAACGGAGAGCCUGAGAUUGAUGAGGAAGAGGAGGAUGAAGUAGACGAAGAAGACGAGGAGGAAGAUGGAGAGGGAGAUGAAGAUGAGGAGGAGGACGAGGAGGACGACCUGGGCGGAGGAACGAAACGAGGGGCUGAUGAGGAUGACGAGGACGAUGAGGACGAGGUCGACCCGAAGAAACAGAAGACGGACGACGAUGAUUAAAAGGAUUGUUGGAUGCUACUGAUCCGGUGUAGAGCUCAUCUUCAGCACAUUUGUUGGAGCCAGUGGCAUAAAGGACUCAAACAUCAAACAUGGUCAUUUUUUCCCCCCCAAGUUCCUGCGUCUCACCCACUAACCCCCAAUGCAAAAUUUUCUAGAGGGAAAAGUCCACCACCCAGAUCCCCAACACGACGACAAAGUUCACAAGACGAGGAUUUGUUUGUAUUUUUAUUUACAUUUUAUAUUUUUGUACAUAUUGUUAAGGGAUCAGUCACUUGAUCGUGAUCUCCUGUGACCAAAACGGUGCUUCUUUAUGAAAUUUUACUUGUUUGACCAUGUCUCGCAAACUUUGGAAACAGAAACAUUUAUAAAAAAUAAUAAAAAAAAUUCAGCCAUUUAACUCUGAGCAUUCCAGUCAGAUUUUAUGUAUGAACUUUAGUUGUACCAUAAACUAGUUUUGUUUCGUUUUUGUUUUGUUUGUAUGGGAGGGCUAGGCCAAAGAAAAGGAGUUACUUUUCUUAUUGUUUUUCGUUUGCAUUUGUUUUACCUUGGCCUGUCUGUGUGUGUGAAGUUUGUUCAACAAUAAACCUGACUUUUAUUUUGUGAGUUGUACUUGACCUCUCUGUUUCCUUUGGUACAUCUCUGCUACCAGAAGCUUGAGUUCAAUUCACAGGACUGCUCGAGCAUCGCUUAAGAUCUUCACUAAAGCUAGUUUAGAAAGCCUGCAAUGUUGAUCUUAAUGUCAUCUGCUGUGCCUUAAAUUAUUAGUACUCAAUACAAGCAUGUAUGGGGAUGCUUAUUAUUGGGUUAAAAUAUGGAUAUAAUGUCUCUGGGUCAUGACCUCUACUGUAAAAUGUAAAAAGUUAAGGAAAAAAGGAUAUGGUGUACGGAGAUCUUUUGUGAGGAGUUUUGUGUUGGAAAUUAGAGCAUCGCACACAUGUUUGUGUUUGGGGAUGUAUUAAAUAUUUGAAUUUUGUUAAAGAUCAGUGCCCAAUAAAAUAAAGUACAUCAUAGCAGUUUUAAGAACAAGGAUGGCCUGUCGUUGACAAGUCCGAGAAUGACAUGGAAGACAGCAUGAUGAAGAAUUUAUUCUCUAGUCAAGGAAACUGUUUGGAUGAUGGCGCUGCACUGGGUUCCAUUAUCGGUUUGCGUUAAAUGCAUCAACCAUGAAGCACCUUGUGCAAUGUCUGAACUUACACUAGUGCCCACAUGUCAGCUCUGCUUAUUAAAAAGAAACAACUGUAACUUGAUCACCAUUCGUCCUCGUUAACAAUUGAUCAACUUCUCAAUGUCUGGUGAAGUUGACCAAAGUGCAGUGAAGCCUGUAUCAUGCGAAAGGUAAAGUGGAAAUCUGCUCUGAAUAUUUGAGAUUCAUCUUUAUAAUUAACAUGAUCUUGAACUUGAUUCAAGAUAGACUUUGUAAUGAAAUGUUUUUAUACAUCAAUUUUUAAUCGUUAUAACGCCGUUCGCCUACCUACUUAUAGCGUUGCACUGGGAUUUAGCUGUUGCAUCAUCAUCUCUACAUAAAGAGAGUGAUGCAGCGGCGCUUUAGUCCGUCCAGAUCUGUGCACUCUGCUCGAACAGAUCAGCUUCCAAAGUUUCAACCGUCAUAUUAAUACCGCCAUUAACACAUCACAUGGUGUAAAUGAGAUCACUGAAGUUUUUUUUAUUAACAUUACCGUUAAACACCACUGUAACUAGCAAAAGCAGCGUCCCACUGUGACAUCAGUGCGGCACACAACGCCUAACUUUUCACCAGAAUAAUGAAAAUACAGCAACAAUUAAGAAAUCAGCACCAGAAUCACUAAUUCAUUUUCUUUCAAGCACCAGACGCUUAACCUUAAAGCCCCACGUGUUAAAGAGUUCGCCUCCCUGUUUUGAUUGGCAGUCUGAAGCUGCCUGAGAGCUGGAUUUCACCGCAAUGACACUGCUUUAGUGAAGGGUGUGUGCUCCUGCUGUGCAUAGGAUGCACUCAGAAAAGCUGUCUAAACUAAAACGAGCUCUGUGGAGUGUGCGUGUGUGUGUGUGCGUGUGUGUAUUGACUGUCUGACCCGGGACUCUGAUGUCAUGUCUACAGGGGUGUGUGUGUCAGGCAUAAGAAUUAAGAGCUAGCUGUGUUGACUAGAAUAACUAGUAUGUGUUUGAGUGUCUGGAGCUGGUUGAGUGAUAUGAUAUACCACAUAUAUAGUAUGGCUGGUUGGACUCAUUUUUGUGAUUUGAGCAUGACCGUAGACCCAUAAAAACUCCAAAGCAGCAUAAGCAGCAUACUAAUUAGCCCUAUAAACACUCCACAGUGUUCUACACUAGCAUUGCGAAUCUCACGGCCACACAACUGCAUGCUGUGUGAUUUCUGUUAUCAUGUCAUCUGUCAUCUGCUUACUCUUUCAAUUUAACCAAAUCCUAGGUCCCCAAGACCACACACAUACACACACACAUGCACAAGUCUCUGUCAUGCACUUUUGUCUAGCUUUUAAAAAGAAGGAAAAAGUUAAUGCAAGAACUGAAAUGUUAGUAUGUAAAGGUUCAGAACUGAAGUGUUCUUUUUGUUGCACAAACUAAGAUACUAAGAACUAGCAUAGUCAUCAAUUAUUAUUUGUCCAUAAAGAAACUAAACAGUAACUAAA
ensembl:lncRNA